UGAUAUAGCUCAGUAGGCAGAGCACUUCCUUGGUAAGGAAGAGGUCACCGGUUCGAAUCCGGUUAUCA
rnacentral:tRNA from 1 species